rnacentral:rRNA from 1 species
GUGAGGAAUAUUGGUCAAUGGGCGAGAGCCUGAACCAGCCAAGUAGCGUGCAGGAUGACGGCCCUAUGGGUUGUAAACUGCUUUUAUCGGGGGAUAAAGUGAGGGACGCGUCCCUUUUUGUAGGUACCCGAUGAAUAAGGACCGGCUAAUUCCGUGCCAGCAGCCGCGGUAAUACGGAAGGUCCGGGCGUUAUCCGGAUUUAUUGGGUUUAAAGGGAGCGCAGGCCGAUGGUUAAGCGUGACGUGAAAUGUAGCCGCUCAACGGCUGAACUGCGUCGCGAACUGGCCGUCUUGAGUGAGUUCGAUGUGGGCGGAAUUCGUGGUGUAGCGGUGAAAUGCUUAGAUAUCACGAAGAACUCCGAUUGCGAAGGCAGCCCACAAGGCCUUUACUGACGCUAAAGCUCGAAGGUGCGGGUAUCGAACAGG